AAUAAUGAAGUAAUGUUUAUCAUGGCAGAUAUCUACUAUUUAUUGAGUGCUCGUUUACGUGUAAAGCAUUGUUAUAAGCCUUUUAAGUGUAUGACUUCCUCAAUUCACAUAAUCACCUUAAGAAGUAGGUAGUUGUGGUGUUCAUUCUGGUGAUCAGAAAACUGAGGCACAUAAUGGUCAAGUAACAUGUCCAAGUUUACAGAGUAAUGAAUGAGUGGUAUAAUCUGAAUUGUAACCUAGUAAUCUGAUUCCAGAAACCAUGUUCAUACUGCAACAUCAACUGAAGGAGCAAUGGAGGAUUUGAGCUGUUCUGGAUUCAUUCUAUGAUGCUUAGAUCUCUCUGCUGAAGCUGACCCAGAAAUGUUGGAUUAAUCCCUGUAAUCCAUGUAUAACACCAUGUAACCCAGUGAUGCUUUCAGUUCCCAGUUCCCAGUUCUCGGCCACUGAGAGAAAAAAGGAAUUUUACCAGGCACAGAUUUGAAACUACAUCGGAGAGCAUAAUAUGCUGAUGUCAAGGACAGAUCAUCAAAUGGCGAUCAGGGCUGACAAGUUAACCUGUCACAGUUUCAUGGGUGCUGGGAGAAGACAUGAGAUCCCUGGACCAGAGGAAAGGAUGUUUUCAUUCACAGAGCAGCAAACAACAUGAGCAUCAGCAUAUUUGUGUCCAUUCCCCUUGCCCCUCAAGUCCCACAAGGAUGUUGCAGAUGUGCCCAAAUGGAUGCCUGCACAAACAGAGGAUUGCAGGACAGGAACUCCAACUGAAGUGUCCUGAUCUUUUACCUGGAUAAUAAGCAUGCUUACCCUUUGCUCUGGAGGCAGACAUUAUCUCUCUCUUCUAAGGCUGUUUGCUAUGAAAAUAUCCUGAAAUAAAGGACUUUGAGAAAGAA